UCCCAGUAAUGUGUCUGAGUGUAUAACAGCAAUAAUACUCCCAGUAAUGUGCCUGAGUGUAUAACAGAGCUCCACAGUAAUAAUACUCCCAGUAAUGUGUCCGAGUGUAUAACAGAGCUCCACGGCAAUAAUACUCCAAGUAAUGUGUAUGAGUUUAUAACAGAGCUCCACAGCAAUAAUACUCCCAGUAAUGUGUAUGAGUGUAUAACAGAGCUCCAC